ACCUGGGAACCCAGUCUCAGUGUUACAAUCCCGAGCUUCCACAAGGAGAGGUUGUGCUGGAUGCUUGGACUUAAAUAACAGUGAAUGAGCUGAUCUAUAUGUUCUUUAUCUAAUUACAUUUCCAGUGCAGUUGUAGAAGGGAAGCAAGAUUGUUGAAGAAAUGACAGAAGCCUGGACAAUAAAGUCUGCAUCAGACUGCAGACACCUGGAGCCUUGGAGGUGAUGGCAAGGAUGGCACUCAGUACCUCUUGUGCCCUUACAGCGGAUGAUAAUGACAUUGAGGAUGUUCGAUCCUCUGUUCCUGCGGUAAAUAUGUAAUGUUCUGGACAGAUUCCUGCUUGAAAUAAGAGGAACUUUACUGAAGAAUUUGUAGUAGAACAGUCAAUACAGAUUGUAAACAAUAAUAACAGCAACAAUUGGGGAUUUUCUUUUUUCCUCGGCACGCCUGUGUAAGGGGAGACUUCCUCUUCCUCACACGUUCUCCUAGGGUUACAGAGUACAGUGUUUCACACAAGAACGAGCUGGGGAUACUUACUAUUUCUAAAGUGUUUGCACACUCAAGCUAAACUGCAUCAAGUUUUCCCAUAAGGAAUGGGUCCAGUCAUGGUCUGCGAUAUGUGCACACGUGUAAUUUUGUAGCUGGAAUACCCAUGGCCGGCAUCUAAUCUCCCCCUCUCUGGAUUCACACUGCAUGCUUUGUCUGACAAUGUCUGGAGCUGCCAGUAUUCCAGCUAAUGUGUCUCUUUUUCCAGUUACUGCCUGUGGCCUUUUUUUCCAGCUCUGAGUGCAUGCUUCCUCCUGGAGUGCUCAGCGCUUCCACUAGCACAUGUCUAUACUUCCCUGCUGGGUCCUGGCUUCCCUGCUGGGUCCUGGCUUCCUGAAGAUUGCCGUAUUAUUUGGGAGAAGCUCCUCCUGCUGGCCUGGAGUACGGUGAAGAAACAUCACCUGGACCUCCUUCAUCACGGCAUAAUGUGAAACUGGAUCUCUUAUUGUGAAAAAGGAUGGCAAUAACAUUUUAAGUGGAAAAGGACCAGCCGGGCUGGAAUCAUGACAGGCGACUCCGAUUCUACCGAUGACUCAUUAUACUUAGAUUUUCUAGACUCAGGAGGAGGAGGGAAACGGGAGAGAGGUUCCUGGAAACAUCAGAGAAAGAGCAAGAGGAACAGUCAAUAGUAAUGACAUCGCCAUAUUCAUAAUACAUUGUGAGAAUGUCUGGAUGUGUCUUACCUGGUUACAUCUAAAAUAAAAUACAAGAAGAUUUACAUUAUACCCUAGGAUAGAAAAUACUGUUUUGCAAUUUUUUAGGCUUUACUGCUUAACCAGUAUAAGGUCAGGCCACUUUCAAUAAUAUGACACAUUAGCUGAGUACCCAGUAUUGCCGUUUUUUCCUACCUAAUCCUUGUGGGGGAGGAAAAGCAACAUAGGAGGAAGUACUUGUCCUCAUAUCCCGACCUCAUAUCCCAUCUUCAUAUUUCGACCUCAUAUCCUAACCUCAUAUUUUGUCCUCGUAUCCUGUCCCUCAUAUCCUGUCCUCAUCUCCCACUCUAAUAUCCUGUCCUCAUAUCUCAUCCUCAUAUCUUCUCCUCAGGGGGGGGCUGAGUUGUGAUGAAGAGAUUGUAGGCCGAAAAUAGGAGGUGUGGUUUUGUGGAAGUGGGCAUGACUUGCAAGCCAGACCAAUGCACAAAAAGGGUAGAAAAUAAGAGGUGGGGUUUAAAUGUUGGGUGUGGGUUUGUGAGAUGGGGUGUGUGGCAUUCGGGAGGGGUGUGGCUGGACUGACGCACUCAGCAGGAGAUGCAGAGCAGAGCUUGGAGUAAGGUGCUGGAAGUCCUAUAUACUUGUAUGGGACUUAAGACAAAAAAAACAUCCUUCACGUAAGGGGGGAGAUUAGGGUUAAUUUAACUAUAUAUUUGAGAUAUAAGUAACGUGUACCAAGUUUUAUUGAAAUAUCUUCAGCCAUUUGGAAGUGAUGCUGGAACAUACACACAUAUACACACAUUGAAUUUUA